rfam:Salmo salar isolate Sally breed double haploid chromosome ssa16, whole genome shotgun sequence.
UGGCUCAGUUGGUAGAGCAUGGUUUGUGCAACGCCAGGGUUGUGGGUUCAAUUCCCAC